GUUCUCUACUUUGUGUGCAAAUCCUAUCACCAUGAGAAUAUUGAUAAGCCCUCCUUAUCAGAUCAUCUUGAGGCUUAUAUUUUGGGGUAUGCUCCUUUAAAGGCAGCCAAUGUCCAAAUGGAGCAACUACAAGCAUAGUCUAUUCUAUACAAGUAUUUCUCAAUUUGAAAUGGGAGUCUCUUAUUAUCAAAUCGAUGCUAGUUUAUCUUGUAAGGUGUAAACAAUAU
rnacentral:misc_RNA from 1 species